UGGCUCAGAUUGAACGCUAGCGGGAUGCCUUACACAUGCAAGUCGAACGGCAGCACGGACUUCGGUCUGGUGGCGAGUGGCGAACGGGUGAGUAAUGUAUCGGAACGUGCCUAGUAGCGGGGGAUAACUACGCGAAAGCGUAGCUAAUACCGCAUACGCCCUACGGGGGAAAGCAGGGGAUCGUAAGACCUUGCACUAUUAGAGCGGCCGAUAUCGGAUUAGCUAGUUGGUGGGGUAACGGCUCACCAAGGCGACGAUCCGUAGCUGGUUUGAGAGGACGACCAGCCACACUGGGACUGAGACACGGCCCAGACUCCUACGGGAGGCAGCAGUGGGGAAUUUUGGACAAUGGGGGAAACCCUGAUCCAGCCAUCCCGCGUGUGCGAUGAAGGCCUUCGGGUUGUAAAGCACUUUUGGCAGGAAAGAAACGUCGUGGGUUAAUACCCCGCGAAACUGACGGUACCUGCAGAAUAAGCACCGGCUAACUACGUGCCAGCAGCCGCGGUAAUACGUAGGGUGCAAGCGUUAAUCGGAAUUACUGGGCGUAAAGCGUGCGCAGGCGGUUCGGAAAGAAAGAUGUGAAAUCCCAGAGCUUAACUUUGGAACUGCAUUUUUAACUACCGAGCUAGAGUGUGUCAGAGGGAGGUGGAAUUCCGCGUGUAGCAGUGAAAUGCGUAGAUAUGCGGAGGAACACCGAUGGCGAAGGCAGCCUCCUGGGAUAAC
rnacentral:rRNA from 1 species